rnacentral:rRNA from 1 species
CCUACGGGGGGCUGCAAUUAGGAAUCUUGCGCAAUGGGGGCAACCCUGACGCAGCGACGCCGCGUGGAGGAUGAAGGUUUUCGGAUCGUAAACUCCUUUUAAGAGGGAAGAAGUUCUGACGGUACCUCUUGAAUAAGCCCCGGCUAACUACGUGCCAGCAGCCGCGGUAAUACGUAGGGGGCGAGCGUUGUCCGAAGUUACUGGGCGUAAAGCGCGCGUAGGCGGUUUCUUAAGUCUGGGGUGAAAGGUUCAGCGCUCAACGUGACCAGUGCCUUGGAUACUGGGAGACUUGAGUAAGGGAGAGGGCAGUGGAAUUCCUGGUGUAGCGGUGAAAUGCGUAGAUAUCAGGAGGAACACCAAUGGCGAAGGCAGCUGCCUGGCCUAUUACUGACGCUGAGGUGCGAAAGCGUGGGGAGCGACCGGGAUUAGAUACCCGAGUAGUC